UACGUAGGUGGCAAGCGUUGUCCGGAUUUAUUGGGCGUAAAGGGUGCGUAGGCGGCCCUGUAAGUCAGUGGUGAAAUCCCCCGGCUUAACCGGGGUGGUGGCAUUGAUACUGCAGGGCUUGAGUACAGAUGAGGUAGGCGGAAUUGACGGUGUAGCGGUGAAAUGCAUAGAUAUCGUCAAGAACACCGAUAGCGAAGGCAGCUUACUGGGCUGUAACUGACGCUGAUGCACGAAAGUGUGGGGAUCAAACAGG
rnacentral:rRNA from 1 species